rnacentral:lncRNA from 1 species
AUUUGAUUCUCACAACAACCCUGAGUAUCAGGUGAAUUAUCUCCAUUUUACAGAUGAGGAAACUGAGGGGAAAAGAGGUUAAGUGACUUGUCCAAGGUCAUGCAGCUAAUGAGUAUAUGAGGACAGAUUUGAACUCAGGUCUUCCUGAUUCCUAGUCCAACACUCUAUAGACCUGUGUUGGCAAACCUAUGGCAUGCAUACUAGAAGGUGCUGCUCCCUUCUCCCUCUCCACUUGAGGACAUUUCUCACAUCACCCACCCCUCUGCCCAGCAGCCCAAUGGGAGCACUUCCUCCUUCCCUUGUGUGGGGUAAGGGGGUAGCUCACAUGUGGCAUGAGAGUGCAGUUUGGGCACUCCAUUUCUAAAAGGUUCCCCAUCACUGCUAUAGACUAUAAUACCUAACUUUGAGUGCUUUGAGAUGGACUCUGUAGAAUCCUUCUUAGGUACAUGCAUCCCUUCCUUUAGAAUGUAAACUUCUUGAGGGGAAGGAUGAGGUUGGGCUUUUCUUUGUCUCCUUAAGGAUUCACAAAGUACCUGACACAUACUCAGUGCUUGGUAAGUUGGUUGAGCGAUGAUUAUCCACAUUUUACAGAUGGGGAAACUGAGGCUUGAGAGGUCAUUUGCUCAGAGUCACACUACUAACAAGUAUUAGAAACAGAGUCUGGAGCCAGUUGCCAGAUGCCUACCGAGACCAUCUGCCUUUUCACUUCCACAGCCAAGCCAUGUAGAUGCUGACAGGCACCUGCAAACCCAAAUCACUUUCGCCACAGCAAGCAGAGAUUUGAAAAGAAGAGAAGCGGCUGAAGGAGAGACCCAUGUCAGCAGCUCGGCUAUAUGGGAGGUGCAGAAUAUGGAUGCUGAGCACUAUAAAUUGGGCAUGCCAGAGGUCAGAUGCUAGUGAAUAAGGAGUCUGGAACAAGUCUGGGAAAGCAAAUGAUCCAGAAUCCAAGAGGGACAACUAAGGCAGAGAUCAGGAGCUCAGGCUGGAGAAGAAGCACUAGGCAACCUGAGCUAUUAAGAGUGAGGGGCCCAAGGCAAGAGAAAAAGAAGAGUUUGAUACCAUACCAGGGCCAGAACUGCCCUUGGAAAGGGCCAAAGCUGGAGCAUGUCAAUGGAAGCAGGGUCAGCUCUGUCAGAUCCAGGAGAGGGGAGGAAAGGAGGGAGGAAGACCAUUUGGAUUGUAUAACUUUGGAAAAUGUACAUGGAAAUUUAUUACAUGUAGUUGGCAAAACAAUCAAGUAAAUAAAUAAACAAAUAAAUGAAUUAAUGAAUGAAUGAAUAAAUAAACA